CUGGAAUUGACACUGGUGCUUUAAGCAAAGAGUUUUUGACUGAAAUGAUGCAUGGUACCGAGAGACGACUGUUUGAGGGCUGUGCCAAAAAGGGAAAAUGUCCAGUCGACUCCAUUAGUGACCUAGAGAAUUGUUU